rnacentral:lncRNA from 1 species
UUUCCAGGAGGGAGAUAUCUGUGCCCAGCAAUUGUGCCAAGCCAAGAAGGCAAAUUUUAAAGGCACAAACUCUCUCUCUCUCUCUUUCUCUCUCUCUCUCUCUCUCUCUCUCUCUCUCUCUCUCUCUCUCUCUCCCUCCCUCCUUCCCUCCCUCCCCCCCUCUCUCUCUGUAUGUGUAUGUGUGUGUGUGAUCCACGGAUUCAAGGAGCUAGUAGCGCAACCACCUCCUGGAGCAAAGGCAGGCCUGCCAGUAUGGUGAAAUGUAUGAACUGUCUGCCCAGGGAAACCCUCAAAGGGGCUACAUAAAAGUGUUCAACUUCAGAAUCUUCCAAAGUUAAGGGCAACACAACUGGGCUUACGGCUGUUGUCCUGGGAAAUGAAGAGAGCCAUCUUGGACUGGAUGUACUUAAGGAAGUUGACAGCUGACCACUGGGGAAGUGACACACCUGGCAACAUGGAAGAGAUAGUUACAUAGAGGCAAGUCCUAAGUGUGUGGGCCUCACUGGUGGCCUGUGGCUGGAGUCAGUGGGAGAUGAGCCAGUUCUCACUGGCACCUAAGGAAGGACAACCACCAGAUGAUAACACAUCCUCAGAGGAGCCAGACUUGCUCACAGGCCCUGCUGUUGCUCUAGACAACGAGGUCAGGUAUGUGGGGGGAUGAACAGAAGACAAACGGGAACCCAGCUGGCCUGCCUCUCAGAAGCCUCUCUGACACCUGCUAUGCAAAUGGGAUGGGUGUGCUAAGAGCUUCACUGACCCUUGCUGGGGACACAGAGGAUGGACCCUGGAAGGAGUAAGGACCGAAGUGUCAGAGAUGAACCUUGUGAAUGGAGUUUGAAGAAUAAGAAUAGAACUUUUUUUUUUUUCAGUCACACACUGAGGAAUGGCUUCAAUGAAUGAAUGGCAAAGGGAGGAGUUUCCCAGGGAAGCAAAGUUGAGAGACAUCAGAAGGACAUCAAAAGGACCUGUAACCCAUGAAAGUCUCGUUUUUACCUGAACAAUGGAAACAGAAAAAACAACAGCCUUUUACAUUUGGCUUCCUGACAAGUGCAGGUUGUGCCACUUCCUUCUUUUUUCUUUCUUUGUUUGUUUGGGGUUUUUGUUGUUGUUGAUUUAGAGAUAGUUUUUAUUUAUUCUUUGACGACACAGGAAUACAUUGUACCUUGCUCAUACCCACCCUCACCUCCACCCUCCCACUCCUCUCUGAUACCCUGAACACAAACAUGUCCUCCCUAACUCUUUCCCUUUUGUGCCCCUCUGAGUCCAGCCAGUGUUGCCACUGGGACGCUGACUGGCCUUGCCUUGUGUCUGUGAAUCUGUGAGAGCAAUGGCUGGCCAGGUCCAGUCCAGAAGACAGCAUUUCACAGAACACUUUCCCAUCCUCCAGGUCUUACACUCUUUCUGUCCCCACUUCCACUGUUUUCCGAACCUGGGAGUGGUUGAGAUAGAUGUCGCAUUUAGGACUGAGCACUCCACAGACACUUGUCCUCAGUGCUCAGCCAGCUGUGAGUCUCUGCACUGACUGCUGCCCGCUGCAGAAAGGAGCUUCUCUGGCCACAGCUGAGAGCAGCGCUGACCUAUCUGCUGCUCCUCCUAGGACUCUGGUUUCCUGAGGAGGAAGGAAGGAUGAAAAGAUCAGUGACCAUCAGAGCGUCAGAGGCUCUCUCUCCCUCCCCCUCUCCUCCCUCUCUCCUUCCACCUCUCCUUCCCCCUCUCCUUCCCCCUCUACUUCCCCCUCUCCCUCUCUUUUUCCCUCUCCCUCUCCCUCUCCUCCGUCUCCUCUCCCCCUCCCCUCCCCUUCCCCUCUCCCUCCCUAUCCCCUCCUCUCUUUCCUUCUCUCUCCUUUUUGCAGUGUCAUGACCCUCAAGGGAUGGGUUCCAAGCUACUCCAUGGAUGCCUAGUAGUGCCGAGCUCUCCAAGUAUAUCUGCUGUAGUGUUUGAUAGACAUACAUGCUUAGAACCAUAUAUAUGGCACAGACAGA